GGGGAUGUAGCUCAGUGGUAGAGCGCAUGCUUUGCAUGUAUGAGGCCCUGGGUUCAAUCCCGGCAUCUCUA
rnacentral:tRNA from 1 species